UACGUAGGGUGCGAGCGUUAAUCGGAAUUACUGGGCGUAAAGGGUGCGCAGGCGGUUCUGCAAGUCAGGCGUGAAAGCCCCGGGCUUAACCUGGGAAUGGCGCUUGAAACUACAGGACUGGAGUAUGGCAGAGGGAGGUGGAAUUCCACGUGUAGCGGUGAAAUGCGUAGAGAUGUGGAGGAACACCGAUGGCGAAGGCAGCCUCUUGGGCCAAUACUGACGCUCAUGCACGAAAGCGUGGGGAGCAAACAGG
rnacentral:rRNA from 1 species